rnacentral:rRNA from 1 species
AUUGAACGCUGGCGGCAGGCUUAACACAUGCAAGUCGAGCGGUAGCACAGGGGAGCUUGCUCCCUGGGUGACGAGCGGCGGACGGGUGAGUAAUGUCUGGGAAACUGCCUGAUGGAGGGGGAUAACUACUGGAAACGGUAGCUAAUACCGCAUAACGUCGCAAGACCAAAGAGGGGGACCUUCGGGCCUCUUGCCAUCAGAUGUGCCCAGAUGGGAUUAGCUAGUAGGUGGGGUAAUGGCUCACCUAGGCGACGAUCCCUAGCUGGUCUGAGAGGAUGACCAGCCACAGUGGAACUGAGACACGGUCCAGACUCCUACGGGAGGCAGCAGUGGGGAAUAUUGCACAAUGGGCGCAAGCCUGAUGCAGCCAUGCGGCGUGUGUGAAGAAGGCCUUCGGGUUGUAAAGCACUUUCAGCGAGGAGGAAGGUGGUGAGCUUAAUACGUUCAUCAAUUGACGUUACUCGAAGAAGAAGCACCGGCUAACUCCGUG